rnacentral:tRNA from 1 species
GGAUCACCUCCUAACAGGGAGACAACAAAAUGUUUAAUAUUAUUAUUUUGUCGCCUUAGGUCGAUCGGUAUCUCACAUUUUUAAUUUAUUGAGAAUUUCAUUUCCUAAGUUUUUCUAGGUCACACCCAUUAUUUUUCCUGGGCCAUUAGCUCAGGUGGUUAGAGCGCACCCCUGAUAAGGGUGAGGUCCCUGGUUCAAGUCCAGGAUGGCCCAUAUCUCUAUGUUGGGGGUAUAGCUCAGUUGGUAGAGCGCCUGCUUUGCAAGCAGGAUGUCAGCGGUUCGAGUCCGCUUACCUCCACUGAUUACCACCUCUUCCAUAACCGGUAGAAAGGAAAUUUUUUGAGUUGUGAUCAAAUUCUGAAAGAAUCUAGCCUCCUAAUGAAAUCAUUAAGAUGCUGGACUCAUUGAAUUAAUUUCAUUGUUUUCAGAGAACCUUGACAACUGCAUAGAUUAUUUUUAAAGACAAUAAGCAUCUUUAAUGAUGCAGAUUUAUUAUUUGUGCGAAUGCAUUAAUAACAAUUCUAUUAAGCUGAUGCUUCAAUUUUUGAAGUUAUUGGUCAAGCUACAAAGGGCUCACGGAGGAUACCUAGGCACACAGAGGCGAUGAAGG